UGUGUUUCAUUUGCGGAAAUUGAUAACGUGAUCAUAAAAAAUGUAAUCAAAGUCUACUUAAAAUAUAUCAUUAACAUAAUUAUUUGAUUGAGUGGGUGCCUACUACUAUACAAAAUGUCUGAAAUUAAUUUACGACCAUCGGAAAUAUAUUUUUCUCAAGAUUCAAUUCGUCGUAACUUUAGGCACCACGAGAUCAAGAUGAUCGGGGAGACGUUAGAUGACAUAUGCGAAGGAAGGGUUACAAUUGACGAUAUUCCGAAAAUAAAAGUUGCGAAGCAUGAAGAAAAAUGGGUUACAUCUGACAACCGCCGCCUUUGGGUUUUUAAGCAUCUAGAACGAUUGAGAAAAUGUGGAACAGUAUGUGUCCGGAUAGUUUCCAUUGUCCGUCCAGCAAAACUUACCACGAAAAAUGGCGGAGAAUCUAUUAAGAUUCGUGGCUUGCCAGGAGGAUCGUGGUAUUUAAAAGAAACAUGAUAAUAUGGUACAUAUACUAAAAACAGUGCUAUAAAGUACCUGUUUAUAAAAGCCGGAUAAGUAAAAAAAAACGUAAAUUGAAACAGUCUAACAUUUGUUUAUUGCUGUUGGUUAAUACAGAUAUGUGCUCAAUAUCUAGUAAACUAUUGAAGCUCUGAACACCAUUAUAUGUAAUUAUUUAUUAAUUUUUUUGGAACAAUGUUGACUGUUAUACUCAUUAUUGAUGUAUGUAGAUUCAUAUUAAUUACUUUUACCCAUUCAGUUGAUUAGAAAUAACUGUGUAUUGAUACUGCGUUUGUCUUUUUAUAUGUUUCUUUAAAUAGAUAGUACGAGUUAAUUACGUUUGUUACAGCGAUAUUGGGUAUUACAUCGUAGCUGAAUAAAUUAAGCAGCUUAUCAUUGUGAUGGUUAGUUAAGAACAGUAGUUAAUGUCUUGUAUGUUUCUCCUGUUUAUUUUUUAAUGUCAAUACAGUCUUUCAAUACAGUCUGCUUAUACGUGUGCAGUACAAGUAUUAACACUAAAUUAAAAUAUGAUGAAGUUAUUUAAAUGCGAACUGAUUUUUUUUUAUAAAUAAUUGUAACACGUAGUAAAAUAAUUGAACACGUUAUUCUUAAUCUGUUAAAUACAAAAAACUCCAUAGUAUGCUACCAAUGGUUUAGCGCAGCUCCACGUUCGACUGCUCCAAUCACCAGCUUUAAGACGUCCGUGUUUGAUAUACUUUGCAUGUUGGUCAGUUUCAAAGUAUGCGCAAUAUCAGUAUGUCGAUUUUGUUCAAAUCAAUCAAUGCAUUAAGAAGAAUGUAUUAUGUUCAUCAAUAGCAUGAUAAGCUAUUGAGUCAUGUAUAUGCCGCCCACAAAAAUAGAUCUGGUUCAAAGUCAAAA